CGCUAGCUACAGGCUUAACACAUGCAAGUCGAGGGGCAUCAGGAAGAAAGCUUGCUUUCUUUGCUGGCGACCGGCGCACGGGUGAGUAACACGUAUCCAACCUGCCCUUUACUCGGGGAUAGCCUUUCGAAAGAAAGAUUAAUACCCGAUGGCAUAAUGAUUCCGCAUGGUUUCAUUAUUAAAGGAUUCCGGUAAAGGAUGGGGAUGCGUUCCAUUAGGUUGUUGGUGAGGUAACGGCUCACCAAGCCUUCGAUGGAUAGGGGUUCUGAGAGGAAGGUCCCCCACAUUGGAACUGAGACACGGUCCAAACUCCUACGGGAGGCAGCAGUGAGGAAUAUUGGUCAAUGGGCGCUAGCCUGAACCAGCCAAGUAGCGUGAAGGAUGAAGGCUCUAUGGGUCGUAAACUUCUUUUAUAUAAGAAUAAAGUGCAGUAUGUAUACUGUUUUGUAUGUAUUAUAUGAAUAAGGAUCGGCUAACUCCGUGCCAGCAGCCGCGGUAAUACGGAGGAUCCGAGCGUUAUCCGGAUUUAUUGGGUUUAAAGGGAGCGUAGGUGGACUGGUAAGUCAGUUGUGAAAGUUUGCGGCUCAACCGUAAAAUUGCAGUUGAUACUGUCAGUCUUGAGUACAGUAGAGGUGGGCGGAAUUCGUGGUGUAGCGGUGAAAUGCUUAGAUAUCACGAAGAACUCCGAUUGCGAAGGCAGCUCACUGGACUGCAACUGACACUGAUGCUCGAAAGUGUGGGUAUCAAACAGGAUUAGAUACCCUGGUAGUCCACACAGUAAACGAUGAAUACUCGCUGUUUGCGAUAUACAGUAAGCGGCCAAGCGAAAGCAUUAAGUAUUCCACCUGGGGAGUACGCCGGCAACGGUGAAACUCAAAGGAAUUGACGGGGGCCCGCACAAGCGGAGGAACAUGUGGUUUAAUUCGAUGAUACGCGAGGAACCUUACCCGGGCUUAAAUUGCAGUGGAAUGAUGUGGAAACAUGUCAGUGAGCAAUCACCGCUGUGAAGGUGCUGCAUGGUUGUCGUCAGCUCGUGCCGUGAGGUGUCGGCUUAAGUGCCAUAACGAGCGCAACCCUUAUCUUUAGUUACUAACAGGUUAUGCUGAGGACUCUAGAGAGACUGCCGUCGUAAGAUGUGAGGAAGGUGGGGAUGACGUCAAAUCAGCACGGCCCUUACGUCCGGGGCUACACACGUGUUACAAUGGGGGGUACAGAAGGCAGCUAGCGGGUGACCGUAUGCUAAUCCCAAAAGCCUCUCUCAGUUCGGAUCGAAGUCUGCAACCCGACUUCGUGAAGCUGGAUUCGCUAGUAAUCGCGCAUCAGCCACGGCGCGGUGAAUACGUUCCCGGGCCUUGUACACACCGCCCGUCAAGCCAUGGGAGCCGGGGGUACCUGAAGUACGUAACCGCAAGGAUCGUCCUAGGGUAAAACUGGUGACUGGG
rnacentral:rRNA from 1 species